rnacentral:tRNA from 1 species
GGGCUUGUAGUCUAGUGGCUAUGACACUGCCUUCACAUGGCAGAGGUCCCCGGUUCGAGUCCGGGCAGGCCCA